UCAUAGGGUACCCCAAAAAGACCAAAAGAUAUUUUUUCUACCAUGCUGAUGAAUAAAAGGUGUUCGUCAGCCUUAAGGCAAUCUUUUUAGAAAAGGAGUUCCUUGGUGAAGGAAUCGUUACCUCUAAAGUUGAACUUGAUGAAGUUCAAUAGGUAGAAGAACCGACACCAAUAGCUGAACCUGAGUCAGAUUUGAUUAGAUCAGAUCUGGAGCCUAAUGUACCUACACCAUUAAGACG
rnacentral:lncRNA from 1 species